GCCAGCAGCUAGCUCUCUGCGACUCUCACAUAGUCACCCACUGAAGUUAAGCAGGGCUGCGCCUCGUCAGUACCUGGAUGGGAGACCACAUGGGAAAGCUAGGUUGCAGCCU
rnacentral:rRNA from 1 species